rnacentral:rRNA from 1 species
CUGCCAGGUAUGAUAGGCUUGUCUCAAGGACUAAGCCAUGCAUGCCUAAGUUCAUACCUAUACAAGGUGAAACUGCGAAUCGCUCAGUAAAUCAGUUAUUGUUUCUUUGAUCGUACCGAGAUGUGCGCCAGUGUGUUCCACUGGCCUCAUCACACAUUGGAUAACUCUGGGAAACUAGAGCUAAUACAUGUCAACUGCUAUCACGGGGUAGCGUGCAUUUGUUCGCCCAUUCCAAAACCAACACUGGCUGAUCUAAACACACGGAGUGGGCCCUAAACCAGCCCCUGGUAACGCUGGCUGUGGCUGGCCAGGUCUCCUGGUUGGCUGCUUUCAGCCUGUGUGCGCACGGGUCAGCCAUGUUCACGGUGAUUCUGAAUAACUGAUGCUGAUCGUACAGGGCCACUGUGCCCACGAUAUUUCAAUCAAAUUCCUGCCCUAUCAUAUUUGUUGGUAGGGUAGCGGCCUACCAAGGUGACGACGGGUAACGGGGAAUCAGGGUUCGAUUCCGGAGAGGGAGCCUGAGAAACAGCUACCACGUCCAAGGAUGGCAGCAGGCGCGCAAACUAUCCAAUCCAGAUUCUGGGAGAUGGUGACGAGACAUAUUGGGACUCACCAGCAUCGCUGGUCGAGUUACCAGAUAGACUACAACCUAAUACAGUGCUAAAAUAAUCAACAGGAGGGCAAGUCUGGUGCCAGCAGCCGCGGUAAUACCAGCUCCUGUGGCCUAUAUGGUCGUUGUUGCGGUUAAAAAGCUCGUAGUCGAAAUACGGUGCGCUCGAAAGCUGCAUCAGUGGUAAUGCUGCGCGCAGGUCUGCUCACAGUCCACGGCUCUUUGUCCACUGUGUGCGUGUGUGUGGCCCAUUCCAUGGGUCGCACACUCUCACGCUUCGUGCGUGACGGUAUGCGCACACAGAAUCAUGGCUCUGAGUGAACGUGCUGUAGUUUAUUAUGGCCUGUCAAAUGCAGUUACGCACUCUGGCGUGUGUCGCUGGUCGUGCCCUCGUGUGCCUGCUCACUCACGUGAGUAGGUGUGCGGGGGUGCGGCCUGGGGCCUGCCAGAGUGUUUUACCAUUGAGACAGCAUUAGAGUGCGCUUUCUCGUCCAGCUACAGUGUGUGUCUGACUGCGUGUGAGCGCGCUGUCAUUCGUGACUCGCGUACUAAAUCACCGCGUCAGGCCUCAUAUCCUUCAGUGGAUACACUGAACGCUGAGCGAAUUGUGCCUUGAGUAAAAUAGAGUGCUCAAAGCAGGCUAGGCAUGUAACAGUGUCAUUGCCCGUAUACUCCAGCAUGGAACGAAUGUCCAAUUGCUUGAACCACCCUGCGGCCUGGUUCGUUGGUUGAAAGUGUGAGUGCGUGUGGUAAGACACACGUGCUUGCACUUCGGUACACGUGUGUGGUGUGUGAUUAUGUGUUGCGCAUUGUGUGUGUGAACUCCAGGCCGUAUCCGCAAAUGUGUGUACCCGUGAUGAUAUUGUAAAUAUGCAUGUAGGCAGGACCAGGGUGUGUGUAAUAUAGUGUCAUGUUCUCACUCUCAUGUAUAUGAGAGUGCCCAUGAUGUGUCGUGUAGUAUGAAAUAUAAUGUGCACGUGCGAGCCAGUCGCCCUGCCUUUACUCACGCGGUCACACACACUGUUAUGCGCAGUGUGUGUCGCGUGAGAGUCAUCGCACGAUGGCUGGUGUAGGAGGCGGCACUCGCGCUAUGCGUGCACUUACUCUCGACUCACCCUGUGUGUGUAUGUGUGCGCUAUAUUGUAGCGCACACACCUGCCCCGGGAACAAUACCACUUCUGCGUAUGGGUAUCGGUUAACAGAGACAUUUGGGGGCAUUGGUAUUUGGCCGCGAGAGGUGAAAUUCUGAGACCGGUCAAAGACUGACGAUUGCGAAAGCAUCUGCCAAAGGUGUCUUCAUUGACCAAGAACGACAGUUAGGGGAUCGAAGAUGAUCAGAUACCGUCGUAGUCCUAACUGUAAACUAUGCCAACCAGGGCUCAGGCCGGAUCGUGUGUAUUGAAAUAGAAUUUCAUACAACUUUGAUCCAGGUUGGGCCCCCCGGGAAACCUAAAGUGUGUGGGUUCCGGGGGGAGUAUGGUUGCAAGGCUGAAACUUAAAGGAAUUGACGGAAGGGCACCACCAGGAGUGGAGCCUGCGGCCUUAUUUGACUCAACACGGGGAAUCUCACCAGGUCCGGACAUCGGAAGGAUUGACAGACUGAUAGAUCUUUCAUGAUUCGGUGAAUGGUGGUGCAUGGCCGUUCUUGGUUGGUGGAGUGAUUUGUCUGGUUUAUUCCGUGAACGAGCGCAACCACAGCCUCUAUUUUGGCCGUACGAAAGGCUACUGCCCUGCGUGUGGUGUGUUUACGCACACUGCGCGUAGGGUGCGUAUGUGAGUUUGCCACUAAUCGUGCUGGCACACUAAGUCUCCAUGUGUGUGUGGUGUGUGGGUGUACGCCUGCCAUGAGUCGUGUGUGCGUUGUUGAUGCAUAUUCCAAACGCUAUCGUGCUGCGCCAGCAUGUAUGCUGGCAGUGGACUAGAUGACGAUCGUGAUGACUCGUCAGACUGUCCGCUGUACUGUGUUGGUGAGUGUGUGCGGUAGCGGUGUGUUGAUGGCGUGCAUUCGCACUCGUGGUUCGGCGUGCAUCUGUGCAUUAUUGUGUGCAUGGAGAUGUGCCAGAUAUAUGUCGAUUGGUGGGUGUUCGUGCGCCUUUAUAGAGGGACUACCGGUGGCAAAUCGGUGGAAGUGUGGCAAUAGCAGGUCAGUGAUGCCCUUCGAUGUUCUGGGCUGCACGCGUGCUACAAUGGUUACGACAAUGAGUGUGUCUGCGUCGAAAGACGUGGGUAAUCUUGUCAAUCGUAGCCUUGCUGGGGAUUGAGCCUUGAAAUUAUUGCUCAUGAACCUGGAAUUCCUCGUAAGUACGAGUCACCAGCUCGUGCUGAAUACGUCACUGCCCUUUGUACACACCGCCCGUCGCUACUACCGAUUGAAUGAUUCGGUGAGGGCAUGGGAUUGAUCGGUUUCGUUCAUUGUAAACUGGUCGAGAGCCUGUCCAAGUUGCAUCAGUCAGAGGAAGUAAAAGUCGUAACAAGGCUUCCGUAGGU